GUUAAUUAAUAUUGCAUUAGUUAUAUAACUUUGCUAUACAGUAAUUGUUCUACCAAAGACGAAUCAUUUGUUUUAGAUUUUUCGAGUUAGCAUUGUCGUAGAGAGAAGAAAAAAAAAAAAAAAAAAGUGUAUUCGUAAAAAUUUUGGUCACGAGUCCCCGUUUGCCACGUAUUCAGAUGUGUUAGAAUAUUUUGAAAUGCGACACUAACUUCCGAAAUUCCGAAACACAUAAUUUUGUUUUGAAGCAACAAUGGCGCACAUGUUAACAAUCGGUACAAAAACCAAUGCGAUCGAUUCCGAUUAGUCACAGUUGUCACGUGUUCCUACUGUUCAAAGUACGAAUUGCAGUUUCAGUUGUGUGUGUGUGUGUAUGUGCGCGCAAAAUUAAAGUUCUUAAAUCCCCUAACAAAAUGGAAAGAAUCGAAUGGAAAUUAAUAACCAGUGGUUAUAUUUCCGAGAAAUGAAUAGGUCAAUAGUUUAAAAUUGUUCUCGGAAUUUAAAUGAUUUUAUGGCAAUUCUUUGUCCACGUUUCCCGGAAUUGUUUACUGUUUAGUCACAAAACAAAACAAGAUUACACACACACGCUGAAUAUUGUGACUUUUCAAAAUGUAUUUUUCAACUUGGUUCCUACUACAAAUCGCCCGGGGAUAAAGUUCCUCCUUCAAUGCUCAGAGGGAAUGAACUUGUUCUAUAGGUCUAGUCGAUUAUGUGAUUAGGUAUACGAGAACUUAAAAAAAAAAAUGGAAUUGUUUUAGGUUACAGUGAAAUGGGUAGAUCGAGAUCGUUUCUGAUAUUAGAAAAACAAUCGUCGGUGUGAUAGGCGAAAUAUUGUUUAGCGGUUUCCGUUUGUCAUCCUCAUCCGCCGUUUCAGUGCGAACUUCCCCACCUAUACCGUCGAGUGGUACGGUCUAUCCUCGUGGCACAUCUCACUUCUUAGUCAGAGGAAGGGACAAGGGUUGAACGAGUUUUAUCUACUUUAGGGAAACGUUCGGAUCGAAAGAGGAUAUCGUUUCAAGGUGAAAAUAUGACUAAGGUGAGUAACCGAUACGUAAAAAUUAAGUGGUCAUACCGGUAUAUACGUUAAAGAAACCUGUUGCUCGUAACGCACGCGAUUUUAUAGGAAAUGUAACGUCAUGGCGGUGACUUGUUCCUUUAUCGUGGUCCAAGCAAAAAGUUUUCAUCCAAAAACGAUUAUUCGCAUCUAUAUGGCUUAUUAUAGAUCCUCUUUUUAAGAAUCUUGACUAUUCUAGUUUACGUGUGUUUUGUCGUUUUAACAAUUUAUAGUCGAUUGUUUCGAAGAUAGUGAUCUUCAGACAAAGGGACUUCAGUCUGUCGUCUUCCUAUCGUGAUCACUAACACAUUUCACAGAUUAAAUUUCAGAUUCCUUAUGAUUUAAAUUGACGUUUUAUUAAAUUAAUGGUGCUCGCAGUCAUAAAUACUAAGAAGAAUUUGUUAAAAAACAAUCGCUUUGAUGUACACGUGUUACAACAAAGUAUUAAUUUCUAUCUUUACCUAGUUGUAGCGUGCCAAAAUUUUUAUGCCCUGUUAUUAAGUGAAGUUUAUAACUGAAUUAGCUUUUAAAUAGUUUUAAAAUACUACUUCAUAUAAAUAUAAAAUUACAGUAGCUAAUUAUAAAAAAAAAAUUGUUUAUUUUUGAUGGAAUUCAUUGCCA
rnacentral:lncRNA from 1 species